rnacentral:lncRNA from 1 species
UGAGUUUGUGCAAAGAGUUGAGAGAAAGAGAGAGCUGCAAUGGCAGCAGCCUUGCUGCCAUUGCAGCAGCUGCGAGAGCUGAGAGUUGAUGAGUUGAGUAGAGUGAUGUAAUCCUCCUCCUCUCCAUGUAUUUGUUGUAAUCCUUUCUCUAUCCCUAAUACAAUGACUCUCUCCCGUGGAUGUAGGCGGAUUUGCCGAACCACGUAAAAUAUUGUCCCAGUGUGCUUUACCCUCUCCUUUGAGCAAUUAUCAGUACACCCCCGGUCGGAAUUCCCAACAAUUGGUAUCAGAGCUGAUGGUUUAAAGGGGUGUUUGAUUUUUGCUCAAAAAUGAAAGUUG